rnacentral:lncRNA from 1 species
AUGCUCCCCUCACAGCCCUCCAGGUCCGGACCCCGCUCCCCUCCUCACACUCCAGGGCCUGGGCCUUGCUCCUCUGCUCGCUCUCAAGGGGCUUGGCCCCACUCCCCUUCUUGCCAUCCAGGGAAUGGGCCCCGCUCAUGUCAUCACCCUCCAGGGCUGGACCCCGCUCCCUUCCUCGCUAUCCAGAGUCUGGGCCCCGCUCCCCUCCUCGCUCUCCAGGAACGGCACCACUCCCACCUCACACUCCAGGGCCGAUGCCGUGCUCCCCUCACUGCCCUCCAGUGCCGGACCCUGCUCCCCUCCUCGCUCUCCAGGGAUGGGUGCCACUCCCCACCUCGCACUCCAGGGUCUGUGCCCUGCUCCCCUAGCCACCCUCCAGGGCUAUACCAGGCGCCACUCACUGCCCUCCAUGGCCAGACCCCACUCCAUCCUCGCCCUGCAGGGCCUGGGCCCUGCCCCACUUCUCUCCCUUCUGGGAGAGACCCCACUCCCCUCCUGGCCCUCAAGGGCCUGGUCCCUGCUCCCCCAUCACCCUCCUGGGAGUGGGCCCUGCUCCCCUUGCAGCCCUCCAGGAUCAGACCCUGCUCCCCUCCUCACUCUCCAGGGCCUGGGCCCUGCUCCACUCCUGGCCCUCCAGGGCCUGGGCCCUGCUCCACUCCUAGCCCUCCAGGGCCUGGGCCCUGCUCCACUCCUCGCCUUCUUGCCAAGCUCUGCUGCACUACUCGCCCUUCAGGGCCUGGCCCUGCUCCCCUCCUCACCCUCCAGGGUCUGGGUCCAGCUCCCUUCAUCGCCUUCCAGGGCCAGACCCCACUGCCCUCCUUGCCCUCCAGGCACUGGGCCCAGCUCCCAUCCUCCCCCUCCAGAGCCGGACUCAGCUCUGCUCCUCAUUCUCCGGGCAAAACCCCACUCCCCUCUGGCCCUCUAGAGCCUGGGCCCACUCCCCUCCUUGCCCUCCAGGGCCUGGCCCUGCUCCCCUCUGGCCCUCCAGGGCCUGGGCCCCACUCCCCUCCUUGCAAUCCAGGGGCAGACUCUGCUCCCCUCCUCAGUCUCCAGGGCCUGGGCCCUGCUCUACUCAUGACCUCCAGGUCCGAAGCCCGCUCCCCUCCUCGCCCUCCAAGUCCUGGGCCUUGCUCCCCUCCUUGCCCUUUUUCCUUUUACCUGCUCUGA